UACGUAGGGUGCAAGCGUUGUCCGGAAUUAUUGGGCGUAAAGAGCUCGUAGGCGGCUCGUCGCGUCGGCUGUGAAAUCCCGAGGCUCAACCUCGGGUCUGCAGUCGAUACGGGCGGACUGGAGUUCGGCAGGGGAGACUGGAAUUCCUGGUGUAGCGGUGAAAUGCGCAGAUAUCAGGAGGAACACCGGUGGCGAAGGCGGGUCUCUGGGCCGAUACUGACGCUGAGGAGCGAAAGCGUGGGGAGCGAACAGG
rnacentral:rRNA from 1 species